rnacentral:lncRNA from 1 species
CACCCCCCUGGCCGGGGGCGGGCCGAACCGUUCCCCACCAGAAGAAUAAUAGCCCGACAGACAGCCAGUGUCCGCAGUCGCUCGCUCACCUUCGCUGGGCCGCCCUGUCUUGUCCGUCAGUGGCUCCGUGCGCUCCGUCAGUGCCUUUGCUGACCGCAGCCGCCCUCGAAGCAGGCACGCCCCUUCCCUUCCCUCUGCGAAGGGCUGGGGUAGUCCCCGCAUCUCCGGCCGCCGCUGCCCGCCCGGAGCCCAGCUCACCUCCUAGCGCCCACAGCCGCCAGCCCUACCGGCUCCCGCAUCCCUCCCUCUCGGGCGGCCGUCCGCUCCGGGAGCACAACCCCAAGGGCAUCGGCGGCGGCGCGGCGGCGCCCAGCUCACGGCUCCAGCCACCUGAGCCCGAGGUGAGGUCCGUACCGUAGAGCAGUGCCUCCUGUCGUCCUGUCGUCCUGUCAUCCAUCCAUCUGCCCUGUGAGAUCAGUGGUGGGGAUUUGUUCCCAGAGUCCUGAGAGAGCCUAGCAGCUUCGGUGAGUUAGCCCCAUUCCCUUACUUCGCCUUGAAGAUGCUUCCAUAUCUUGCCAGGCCAUCGUUUCCACUCACCCAAAGGGAAAGGCAAGGCUUGUGGUUUGCUCCUAAAUCAUUUGGCAGUGCUUCUUAGGGCAGGGUGUCAUGACAUCCCUGUAAAGACAACCUCAGCCUGGGUGUGCCAGGAAUGCUUUGGGAAUGAGGGAGGCCCCGGAGGAGGAGGCAAGGGGGGGAAAACACAAAUCACUUUCUUUAAUGACCUUGAGAAUAAUGGGACCUGUCUAAAUGAGAUUUAGCUACAGGAAGGAGACAGAACCCUAGGGGAAGAUUUGCAGGUACAGAAGGCCAAUCCCGAGGGGAUGGAACUGCCAUCCGGGGGACAUCUCUACAAGGGGAGGUUUGGGCGCCAGCUUGCCAUUGUCCUCUGCCACUCAUUGCUGCUUUUCAGGAAUGAGCUUUUUUCUGGGAUUCUGGCAGAGAGCCUGGGGUUGUGGUUGUCUGCUUGGGAGGUUGGGGCACAGGCAGCUGGCAGGGAGGCCUGCCUCUGUGAAUUGGGGCAUACCUGAGCUAUGACAGGUAAAGUUGCUAUGCCUGGGAUACCCAGGAUUGGCCGAUGGGAGAAAGAAUGGGAGGAGCUCCCAAUGAGUAACAGAACUUCCCAUCUUCUGCCUGGGGAGCAAGUGAGUUGUCCCAUCCAGGGCUAAGCUCCUGGCCCUGUAGGCUGUAUAGCCAAGCUUUCCAGGAAUUCCUGUUUCUCCUGGUUUUGUCUACAUAAGACUUCCAGGCCAAUGAAUUCUGGGAUUGCCUCUGCUGGAAUGGGAAGGCCAGUAUUCUGAGAAUUAGUGGUGAGAUCUCUGGCUCUGAAAUGGGGGGGUGGGCUUUCCUUCCAGUUUCUGC